CACACACAUAUGCUCAGUUGGCGCGGCAAUAUAGUCUAGUUGCACACACGUUGAUGUUUAGUUGGCAGGACUAUUGGCACACACAUAUGCUCAGUUGAGGCAGCAAUGUAGUCUAGUUGCACACACGUUGAUGUUUAGUUGGCAGGACUAUUGGCGCACACAUAUGCUCAGUUGGCGCGAUAAUGUAGUCUAGUUGCACACACAUUGAUAUUUAGUUGGCAGGAAGACUAGUUCGUCGAAACAUCCCCAUGCGGGGUCUACUUUUGAAGAGCACGUCGCGAAGGUUUCAACGGUGAAAACGGAUCUGAAUUUCGACACGCGGUUUAGAAGAUAUGUCUUUUAUAAUUUUAAAAACCAAAAAUUAAUGCACAUGGGACGAAGGUGAGAAACAUUAAUGCAACAGUAUGCACACAUCCAUCAUGUGAGAAGAAACCACAUAGGGUGAUUAAUUAGCAGUGUCCUUUUAGCAUUUUUGAAUUACAGUAAUUUUGCCUUUUUUAGUAUACAGUAGAGACCAGACGUGCUGACCAGGGGCCGGCCGCUCGCAAGCGCUAGCAAGCGCCUGGCCGCCAGCUAGACGCUUCCAUUUUUUUAUUCUUGAUCCUUGCAUAUUUUGUUGCUACACUUAAAUCCUUCUUUAGAUUUACACCGAUCUUCAUUUUUCGAUAAUCUAAAAGGAGAAUUCUUGCAAGCAGGGAAAAUGUAUUUCUCGCCAUGGUUGGGGAUAAUUACAAUUAUGACCAGAUGAUGAAUAACAGUUUCCACAUGCUUGCAUAGUACAAUAUUUUCAUAACUAUUGGUCUUCAAGCAAACCUUGAUAAUUUGGGGAGAGCAAGACUGGGUUUUCCCAUUAGAACUUGGCUUGAGGUUGAAAAGACAUUUGGGGGAUACAUCGG